AAUGAAAUUUGAUAAGGACAUAGUGGAUACGCCGCUGGUACUUCCUAUAUAUAAGUGUUCUUAUCAAACUAUCAAAAGCCUCGUUAGAUUGGUCGAGAGAGGUUCUACUCGUCAAUCAUGAUUUGAAUAAUGGGUGGAUGAAAAUUUGAUAGGGACAUGGUGGAUACGCCGCUGGUACUUCCUAUAUAUAAGUGUGUCUGUCAAAUUUUCAAAAGCAGCGUUAGACUAAUCAUGAGUGUUUUAGUUAGUUUGUUUUGGUUUUGUGAUUGGAGAAUUCAAAUUCUAUGAUUUCGCUAAUCUAACUCACAUUGUCGCAUUUUAUGAGAAAUACAUCAAGAUCCUAGGUCGUGACACAGAUUGUAGUUUUGGCAUCACGAGUAUCCUUUGCGACUCGGUUGCAAACUCUUCAGUGUUACAGGACAUCUGUGGGACACGAUUUUCUCUUAAGCCGUAACUAAUUCUCGAUUGGUCAUUUAUGGGCUUAACGAUUGUAAUGAUCGUAUGACCUAUGACUGGCUUUCAUUACUGCAUCUUUGGCAAUUAAGAGCGAUUCUUUAAUUGGGUAUGUAACCCUGGUAAGGAACGCUACCGCCACAGCCUAAUCAAAAUCUUAUCUUAGUUUGAGUGUAAUAUCAACGACGUUAGGGCUCAUGUAUAACCCUUGAUUUCUGACUACCCUAAAGAACAGCCUGAUAGUAAGAUUCGAGUUCCUAAUACUACUAAUAAUCGAACCGAUAUCGUUUAUGCCUAUGGAAGAUCAUACGCCUUGUCCUAUGCGAGCAGUUUCCUUUUAAUUUCGGGACGAAAUUCCCAAAAGUUGGGGAGACUGUAACAUCCGUCAAAAUCGGACCUCCGAAAUCCGACCCGGAUUGUAAAACUGGACCCUUUUCAAUUAAAAACAAAUAAGAAAUUUUUGUUUUGUUUUGUUUAUUAUUACAUAAAUCGUCACAUGUUUCAUCAGAUUAAAACCGGAGUUAAAUAGAGGUUUAUAAGAGAACCCGGUAAGUAUAUAAAGGAAUUAAUUAACUACGUUAAAAAUGGUGGUUAAAACAAAAUAUAAAUGUAAAAGGGUGUAAAUUGUCAAAAUAUUAAAGUUACAAGUUAAGGAUUGUUU
rnacentral:lncRNA from 1 species